UCUGGAGUAAACCACAGCACCAAACAGCAGCGAGGACGACACUACUUGCCGAUGACAUUGCAGGCAUUGGGGAUGCAGAGGAGACAGUUCUGAGUUUCCUCUCAUAAAUCCAUGUUUGUCUUUCAUGUACAGGUCAAGAAAACCUAGUCUCCAUACUGUCGGAGAACUAUGAAGCUAACCUAAAGAAAUGCUGAAAGGGAGGGAGCUAAAGAAUUUAAGGAAUUCCAAGAAUUCUGAUAAAAUCAUGGCAUUUCUUGAACUUUCACAAAAGGAAACUUCCCAGACCUGAAGAAAACAUUGUUUUGGUAGAAUUCAAAGAAUCAUCCUGCUGACCUCCCAUCUCAAACAGUCCUGUGCAUAAUGCUGUAAUCCCUGCAAGCAGAUCAAUUAUCAGCUGGCAGAGAAUUUUUGCAGGCCCACAUAAAAUUGCAGGAGCUGUCUCAGUUGUUUGUCAACUCCAUCUUGUCUGAACACAGAGAAGAUCCCUCCUGUUUGCAUGCAGUGGCACUCUCUCUUCACACUGACAGUAUAAUCUGCUGUUCUUAAUAUUUGCUCAGUGCAACCUCCUAUGCAAGUCUAUUCUCCUUUGCUUCUGAC
rnacentral:lncRNA from 1 species